ensembl:snRNA U6 U6 spliceosomal RNA
GUGCUGGCUUCGGCAGCACAUACACUAACCCUGGAAUGAUACGAAAAUCAGUAUGGCCCCUUCAUAAGAAUGACAUGCAAAUUUACAUUCUAUACUUUUUU